UGAGGGUGAGGCCGUUAAUCGGAUUACUGGGCGUAAAGCGUGCGUAGGCGGCUUGUUAGUCGGAUGUGAAAUCCCUGGGCUUAACUUAGGAAUUGCAUUUGAUACUGGGAAGCUAGAGUAUGGGAGAGGAUGGUAGAAUUCCAGGUGUAGCGGUGAAAUGCGUAGAGAUCUGGAGGAAUACCGAUGGCGAAGGCAGCCUUCUGGCCUAAUACUGACACUGAGGUACGAAAGCGUGGGGAGCAAACAGGAUUAGAUACCCUGGUAGUCCAUGCCGUAAACGAUGUCUACUAGCCGUUGGGGCCUUUGAGGAUUUAGUGACGCAGCUAACGCAAUAAGUAGACCGCCUGGGGAGUACGGUCGCAAGACUAAA
rnacentral:rRNA from 1 species